UACGUAGGUGGCAAGCGUUGUCCGGAUUUACUGGGUGUAAAGGGCGUGCAGCCGGAGAAGCAAGUCUGAAGUGAAAGCCCGUGGCUUAACCACGGGACUGCUUUGGAAACUGUUUGACUAGAGUGCUGGAGAGGUAAGUGGAAUUCCUAGUGUAGCGGUGAAAUGCGUAGAUAUUAGGAGGAACACCAGUGGCGAAGGCGGCUUACUGGACAGUAACUGACGUUGAGGCUCGAAAGCGUGGGGAGCAAACAGG
rnacentral:rRNA from 1 species